CAUGAGGUAACUACUGGUCACAUUGCAC
rnacentral:piRNA from 1 species